AUGCCAAGCAUGAUGUCAGGAGCUGGGAAUACAGGGUGAAUCAGCUAAGCCCUGCUUCCAAGAGCGGCAUGCUGUUAAAGGGGAAAGACGCUUAUGUGGUAACUAUGCAACUCAAGUGUCACUACUAGAGGAUAUGGAGGUAUAUUUGUUAGUAAAGGCAUGGCUACCUAUGUUUGGAAACAGCCAAUAUGCUGAGGUGACAGAAACAGAAAGCAGAAGUUGUGAGAGCCUGUGCAUGAGUUAGUCACCUAUGAGGAACACUGAUGUGCUGAAGAGGAGGCUGCAGAGGCCUCAUGUACACGAGCCUGAGCGUGGUGAGCCAAGAAGGGAGCUGCAGACUGACUGGAUGGGGUACAGCCUGAGAUUCCUGUGGUCUCUGGUUCAGGGCCCUGCUUCUCAUGCUGGGGACGUCUCUACCAUGGGUAAUACCCCAGGAAUCCUCACCACCUAACCUGAUCCACCUGGAGGAACCCCGGCUUGGGAGAUGGCAGGGCAGAUGCUCUUGGCAGCAUUCAGGCCUGGGCUUAAGUUACUCCCUGAUGUGGCCAUCUGCUAUGCCCCAGGGAUAGGAAGGAAAAAUGGGCCUGAAGGAAAGGAGGUAAAAGAAGUAGAAUGAGGGUCAACACACUCAGGGAGCACAAGGCAGGAAAGUAGAGAGACCAACUGAGAGAGUGGAGGGCGUACCCUUGUUGAGUCUGGAAGGAAAGAGGAGGAGCUGUGGAGAGGCACCAGGAUAACCCUGUGCUGAAGGGCAAGGUAGAGAGACCCCAGAGUGAGGGUCUAUAAAAAUGUCCUGAUCCCCCCAGCUCCCAGGACAAGGGGAUGGAAGCCAGCGAGAAGCAGAGUGAAGUCCUGAAGCUGAGCGUUGUAAUGUCUCGGUAGACCUGUGGGAAAGCUGGCUGCAGCCUCAGGAUGGAGGUCUGGAAGACAGAAGGUACACAAGGGGCCCCUCUCCAUCCACUCACCAGGGCUUGUUGCUUCUGGGCUUCCUCCUGCCAGAGGCUCCAGAUCUUCACUGCCAUCUGGGUGGGAGGUCAGGUUGGGUCUUGGGGGGUCUGCAGGGAGAGAAAAGCAUUGUCACCCAACCAGGACAUGGAGGACCAUCCAGACACUCAGUGAGAACCUCCUGGCUCUCCUGACUUUUCUAUGCUUUAUCCUGCACGUGGCUCCUGUGUGUGGACGAGGUGCUGCACUGGGCGACUCUGGGGAUGCCUGUCCUGUAGGGUUCCCAGUCCAGUGAUGGAGAGGGAGCCAAACAAUCACAAUCCAGGGUGAUCAAAGCUGUGACAGCUGGGGCUGGGGAUACAAAGGACUUGUGACAGCUCUUUAAUGGGCAGGAUCUGCCAGGUGGAGAGGCACGUACUUCCUUAGCCAUUCAUGAUUUAUUCACUGACCCAUGGGCCACACAUUGCCUGAGGCCUCCAUGGGCCAGGGACAGAAAAUGUCAGGGUCCCAGAGCCCAAGCAGUCCUGAGCCAUACCCUCCACAAGCUUCCCCAAGGAAGGGAACAGAGUCACCAUCCAGGAGGGAUACAGGCCACAGCGGAGAAAACGCCACUGCUGUCUUUGAAGACUGAGAAGCCAUGAGUCAAGCAAUACAGGUGACCUCCAGAAGCUGGCAACGGGCCAGGAAGGACUAUCUACGUGCUGGAGCCUCCAGAAGGAACAUGGUGGCCCUGCCAACACCUCGCCUC
rnacentral:lncRNA from 1 species